rnacentral:rRNA from 1 species
CGGCGUGCUUAACACAUGCAAGUCGAACGGAAAGGCCCUGCUUUUGUGGGGUGCUCGAGUGGCGAACGGGUGAGUAACACGUGAGUAACCUGCCCUUGACUUUGGGAUAACUUCAGGAAACUGGGGCUAAUACCGGAUAGGAGCUCCUGCUGCAUGGUGGGGGUUGGAAAGUUUCGGCGGUUGGGGAUGGACUCGCGGCUUAUCAGCUUGUUGGUGGGGUAGUGGCUUACCAAGGCUUUGACGGGUAGCCGGCCUGAGAGGGUGACCGGCCACAUUGGGACUGAGAUACGGCCCAGACUCCUACGGGAGGCAGCAGUGGGGAAUAUUGCACAAUGGGCGGAAGCCUGAUGCAGCAACGCCGCGUGCGGGAUGACGGCCUUCGGGUUGUAAACCGCUUUCGCCUGUGACGAAGCGUGAGUGACGGUAAUGGGUAAAGAAGCACCGGCUAACUACGUGCCAGCAGCCGCGGUGAUACGUAGGGUGCGAGCGUUGUCCGGAUUUAUUGGGCGUAAAGGGCUCGUAGGUGGUUGAUCGCGUCGGAAGUGUAAUCUUGGGGCUUAACCCUGAGCGUGCUUUCGAUACGGGUUGACUUGAGGAAGGUAGGGGAGAAUGGAAUUCCUGGUGGAGCGGUGGAAUGCGCAGAUAUCAGGAGGAACACCAGUGGCGAAGGCGGUUCUCUGGGCCUUUCCUGACGCUGAGGAGCGAAAGCGUGGGGAGCGAACAGGCUUAGAUACCCUGGUAGUCCACGCUGUAAACGGUGGGUACUAGGUGUGGGGUCCAUUCCACGGGUUCCGUGCCGUAGCUAACGCUUUAAGUACCCCGCCUGGGGAGUACGGCCGCAAGGCUAAAACUCAAAGGAAUUGACGGGGCCCCGCACAAGCGGCGGAGCAUGCGGAUUAAUUCGAUGCAACGCGUAGAACCUUACCUGGGUUUGACAUGGAUCGGGAGUGCUCAGAGAUGGGUGUGCCUCUUUUGGGGUCGGUUCACAGGUGGUGCAUGGCUGUCGUCAGCUCGUGUCGUGAGAUGUUGGGUUAAGUCCCGCAACGAGCGCAACCCUUGUUCACUGUUGCCAGCACGUUAUGGUGGGGACUCAGUGGAGACCGCCGGGGUCAACUCGGAGGAAGGUGGGGAUGACGUCAAGUCAUCAUGCCCCUUAUGUCCAGGGCUUCACGCAUGCUACAAUGGCUGGUACAGAGAGUGGCGAGCCUGUGAGGGUGAGCGAAUCUCGGAAAGCCGGUCUCAGUUCGGAUUGGGGUCUGCAACUCGACCUCAUGAAGUCGGAGUCGCUAGUAAUCGCAGAUCAGCAACGCUGCGGUGAAUACGUUCCCGGGGCUUGUACACACCGCCCGUCAAGUCAUGAAAGUUGGUAACACCCGAAGCCGGUGGCCUAACCGUUGUGGGGGAGCCGUCGAAGGUGGGACUGGUGAUUAG